rnacentral:rRNA from 1 species
CUGACAAUGGGGCGCAGCUGAUCAGCCAUGCCGCGUGUGUGAUGAAGGCCUUCGGGUUGUAAAGCUCUUUCGGCGGGGAGGAAAAUCCUCUGGCUAAUACCCCAGGCUCUUGACCUUUCCGUGCCAACAGCCGCGGGGUUACUUUUGCCCCCCCGCCUUUAAUAUGUUUGACUUUGAUGGAGAUAAGACUCUCCAUGUGGAUAUGGAAAAGAAUGAGACGGUCUGGGGGGGGGGGGGGGAUUGGACAAUUUUCCAGCUGUGAGGGUGGGGUUGCAUUGGCCAACAUGGGUUUGGCCAACUUCAACCUGUAAAUCAUGACA